CAAUAGCGUAUAUUAAAGUUGUUGCAGUUAAAAAGCUCGUAGUUGGAUUUCUGCUGAGGACGAUCGGUCCGCCCACUGGGUGAGUAUCUGGCUCGGCCUUGGCAUCUUCUUGGAGAACGUUGCUGCACUUGACUGUGUGGCGCGGUAUCCAGGACUUUUACUUUGAGGAAAUUAGAGUGUUUCAAGCAGGCGCACGCCUUGAAUACAUUAGCAUGGAAUAAUGAGAUAGGACCUUGGUUCUAUUUUGUUGGUUUCUAGAGCUGAGGUAAUGAUUAAUAGGGAUAGUUGGGGGCAUUCGUAUUUAACUGUCAGAGGUGAAAUUCUUGGACUUGUUAAAGACGGACUACUGCGAAAGCAUUUGCCAAGGAUGUUUUCAUUGA
rnacentral:rRNA from 1 species